rnacentral:rRNA from 1 species
UACGUAGGGUGCGAGCGUUGUCCGGAUUUAUUGGGCGUAAAGGGCUCGUAGGCGGCGUGUCGCGUCGGGGAGUGAAAGCCCGUUGCUUAACGGCGGGUUGGCUUUCGGUGCGGGCAUGCUGGAGUGCGGCAGGGGAGACUGGAAUUCCUGGUGUAGCGGUGGAAUGCGCAGAUAUCAGGAGGAACACCGGUGGCGAAGGCGGGUCUCUGGGCCGUUACUGACGCUGAGGAGCGAAAGCGUGGGGAGCGAACAGG